rnacentral:rRNA from 1 species
CCUACGGGAGGCAGCAGUGAGGAAUAUUGGUCAAUGGGCGCGAGCCUGAACCAGCCAAGUCGCGUGAGGGAAGACGGUCCUAUGGAUUGUAAACCUCUUUUGUCGGGGAGCAAAAGACGCCACGCGUGGCGUUCCGAGAGUACCCGAAGAAAAAGCAUCGGCUAACUCCGUGCCAGCAGCCGCGGUAAUACGGAGGAUGCGAGUGUUAUCCGGAUUUAUUGGGUUUAAAGGGUGGGAAGGUGGAAGAUCAAGUCGGCGUUAAAAUUUGGAGGUUAAACCUCUUAGAGCCGUUGAAACUGGUUUUCUAGAGUGAAUGAGAGGUAUGCGGAAUGCGUGGUGUAGCGGUGAAAUGCGUAGAUAUCACGCAGAACUCCGAUUGCGAAGGCAGCUUACCGGCCCUCAACUGACGUUCAUGCACGAAAGUGUGGGUAUCAAACAGGAUUAGAUACCCCUGUAGUC